rnacentral:rRNA from 1 species
GAUGAACGCUGGCGGCGUGCCUAAUACAUGCAAGUCGAGCGAACAGAUGAGGAGCUUGCUCCUCUGACGUUAGCGGCGGACGGGUGAGUAACACGUGGAUAACCUACCUAUAAGACUGGGAUAACUUCGGGAAACCGGAGCUAAUACCGGAUAAUAUAUUGAACCGCAUGGUUCAAUAGUGAAAGACGGUUUUGCUGUCACUUAUAGAUGGAUCCGCGCCGCAUUAGCUAGUUGGUAAGGUAACGGCUUACCAAGGCAACGAUGCGUAGCCGACCUGAGAGGGUGAUCAGCCACACUGGAACUGAGACACGGUCCAGACUCCUACGGGAGGCAGCAGAAGGGAAUCUUCCGCAAUGGGCGAAAGCCUGACGGAACAGCGCCGCGUGGGUGAUGAAGGUCUUCGGAUCGUAAAACUCUGUUAUUAGGGAAGAACAAAUGUGUAAGUAACUAUGCACGUCUUGACGGUACCUAAUCAGAAAGCCACGGCUAACUACGUG